rnacentral:rRNA from 1 species
AAUGAACGUUGGCGGCGUGGAUUAGGCAUGCAAGUCGUACGCACAGCAAUGUGAGUGGCGCAAGGGUGAGUAAUGCGAAGGUAACCAACCCUGGAGUUGGGCAUAGCCGCGGGAAACUGCGGGUAAUUCCCAGCGAUGUUACGAGGUGGCAUCAUCUUGUAACCAAAGGUGUGAUUCCGCUCUAGGACGGGCCUUCGUGGUAUUAGCUAGUUGGUGGGGUAACGGCCUACCAAGGCAACGAUGCCUACCGGGUGUGAGAGCAUGACCCGGCACACUGGAACUGAGACACUGUCCAGACACCUACGGGUGGCUGCAGUCGAGGAUCUUCGGCAAUGAGCGCAAGCUUGACCGAGCGACGCCGCGUGUGCGACGAAGGCCUUCGGGUUGUAAAGCACUGUCGAGGGGGAGGAAAGCCGAAAGGUCUGACCUAUCCCUGGAGGAAGCACGGGCUAAGUUCGUGCCAGCAGCCGCCGUAAAAC